AGUUUGAUCCUGGCUCAGAUUGAACGCUGGCGGCAGGCCUAACACAUACAAGUCGAGCGGUAGCACAGAGAGCUUGCUCUCGGGUGACGAGCGGCGGACGGGUGAGUAAUGUCUGGGAAACCUCCUUAGGAGGGGGAUAAUCUGGGAAACGGUGGUUUAACCCGCAAUAUGUCCAAAGCCAAAAGUGGGGACUUUGGGCCCUAAGCCCUCAAAUUGCCCCAGGUGGGAUUAGCUAUUAGGUGGGUAACGGUUCACCUUGGGGGACGAUCCCUAGCUGUUCUGAGAGGAUGCCCAGCCCCACUGGAACUGAGACACGGUCCAGACUCCUACGGGAGGCAGCAGUGGGGAAUAUUGCACAAUGGGCGCAAGCCUGAUGCAGCCAUGCCGCGUGUGUGAAGAAGGCCUUCGGGUUGUAAAGCACUUUCAGCGGGGAGGAAGGCGGUGAGGUUAAUAACCUCAUCGAUUGACGUUACCCGCAGAAGAAGCACCGGCUAACUCCGUGCCAGCAGCCGCGGUAAUACGGAGGGUGCAAGCGUUAAUCGGAAUUACUGGGCGUAAAGCGCACGCAGGCGGUCUGUCAAGUCGGAUGUGAAAUCCCCGGGCUCAACCUGGGAACUGCAUUCGAAACUGGCAGGCUAGAGUCUUGUAGAGGGGGGUAGAAUUCCAGGUGUAGCGGUGAAAUGCGUAGAGAUCUGGAGGAAUACCGGUGGCGAAGGCGGCCCCCUGGACAAAGACUGACGCUCAGGUGCGAAAGCGUGGGGAGCAAACAGGAUUAGAUACCCUGGUAGUCCACGCCGUAAACGAUGUCGAUUUGGAGGUUGUGCCCUUGAGGCGUGGCUUCCGGAGCUAACGCGUUAAAUCGACCGCCUGGGGAGUACGGCCGCAAGGUUAAAACUCAAAUGAAUUGACGGGGGCCCGCACAAGCGGUGGAGCAUGUGGUUUAAUUCGAUGCAACGCGAAGAACCUUACCUGGUCUUGACAUCCACAGAACUUUCCAGAGAUGGAUUGGUGCCUUCGGGAACUGUGAGACAGGUGCUGCAUGGCUGUCGUCAGCUCGUGUUGUGAAAUGUUGGGUUAAGUCCCGCAACGAGCGCAACCCUUAUCCUUUGUUGCCAGCGGUUAGGCCGGGAACUCAAAGGAGACUGCCAGUGAUAAACUGGAGGAAGGUGGGGAUGACGUCAAGUCAUCAUGGCCCUUACGACCAGGGCUACACACGUGCUACAAUGGCAUAUACAAAGAGAAGCGACCUCGCGAGAGCAAGCGGACCUCAUAAAGUAUGUCGUAGUCCGGAUUGGAGUCUGCAACUCGACUCCAUGAAGUCGGAAUCGCUAGUAAUCGUAGAUCAGAAUGCUACGGUGAAUACGUUCCCGGGCCUUGCACACACCGCCCGUC
rnacentral:rRNA from 1 species